rnacentral:misc_RNA from 1 species
AACUAUCAAAACACUUUUUGUUUUCUUGAGGUGUUUUGGACUAUGGGAGUGCUGGUCUCUUUUUUGAGCCAGCUCUCCUCAAAAGCAUUAAGUUUGGAGACCAUCAGUGUGAUAAUUUUUUGUUUAUACGCUGGCUUCUCCUUUUUCC